rnacentral:snoRNA from 1 species
UUUAAAUGAUGAGUAAUUUUUUAGCGAUGGGCGGACUGAAAACGUGUAUUGAUUUUAAACAUGUAGAAAAUCGCCGAACUGAUAAGA